GAUGAAGAACGUAGCGAAAUGCGAUACGUAAUGUGAAUUGCAGAAUUCAGUGAAUCAUCGAAUCUUUGAACGCAUAUUGCGCUCUCUGGUAUUCCGGAGAGCAUGCUUGUUUGAGUAUCAGUAAACACCUCAACUUCCAUAUCUUUUUUGAAAUGGAAGUUGGACUUGAGUGAUCCCAACGCUUUUCCUCACCGAAAAGUGGCGGGUUACUUGAAAUGCAGGUGCAGCUGGACUUUUCUCUGAGCUAUAAGCAUAUCUAUUUAGUCUGCCUAAAAAACAGAUUAUUACCUUUGCUGCAGCUAACAUAAAGGAGAUUAGUUCUUGUGCUGACUGAUGCAGGAUUCACAAAAACGGCUUCGGCCGACUUUGUAAACUCGAUCUCAAAUCAAGUAAGACUACCCGCUGAACUUAAGCAUAUCAAUAAGCGGAGGA
rnacentral:misc_RNA from 1 species